GCCAUGAGGGGCGGGUGGUGCGGCGGGACCGGGCGGCCGCCAUGAGCUUUUAGUGUCUGGAAGUGCCCGGCGGCCCGGCCUGGCUGGUAACUGAGGACCUGGGAGCGGAGCGUUCACUGUGCCGAUUAGAAGGCAUUUCUCAGCCUGCUUCUGGGUUUGAUUUCUUAAUAUAUGGUUUUUCCCCCUUCUGCAAGCCAGGUCCCUGCUGUUGAGUGCUAUUAAUACAGAUUUAAUUAACUGAUUAUUUGAAGUGAUGUUUCGCUUGUGCUCUUUCUAGUGCUGAGGCGUGGAGUCUGGGGUGGCAGAGAAGAGCCUGGCAGGCAAAUGGUUGGCAUGUUCCACUGCAGGAGGGGGCUCACUGCAGCAGCAGCGCUUGCCAGAAGGAGACAAAUAAUGCUGGUGGUGCUGCUUUUGAGACUUCUGUUCAAAAGAGAUGAUGAAGAUGGAAAGUUACAGUCCACAGUUUAAAUGGGACUGCUGGAGAAGUACUUGUUUUCAGGAUCUAGAUGUAGUAACUCAAAACAUCAGAGGUGGCUGGAGGCAAGGUCUAAUAAUUACAUACACAGUUUCUUCAUUGUUAAUUCCCUCUCACUGCUUGUUUAAAACUAUUUUUUCAGUGACUUCUAUUUAUUAAAAUUAUUUUCAUUUAAA